rnacentral:rRNA from 1 species
CACGUAGGGUGCGAGCGUUUGUCCGGAAUUAUUGGGCGUAAAGAGCUCGUAGGCGGUGUGUCACGUCGGCCGUGAAAACCUGGGGCUUAACUCUGGGCGUGCGGUCGAUACGGGCAGACUAGAGUUCGGUAGGGGAGUCUGGAAUUCCUGGUGUAGCGGUGAAAUGCGCAGAUAUCAGGAGGAACACCUGCGGCGAAGGCGGGUUGCUGGGCUGAUACUGACGCUGAGGCGCGAAAGCCAGGGGAGCGAACGGG